rnacentral:rRNA from 1 species
UUUGAACGCUGGCGGAGGCUAACACAUGCAAGUCGAGCGGUAACAGAAAGUAGCUUGCUACUUUGCUGACGAGCGGCGGACGGGUGAGUAAUGCUUGGGAACAUGCCUUGAGGUGGGGGACAACAGUUGGAAACGACUGCUAAUACCGCAUAAUGUCUACGGACCAAAGGGGGCUUCGGCUCUCGCCUUUAAAUUGGCCCAAGUGGGAUUAGCUAGUUGGUGAGGUAAUGGCUCACCAAGGCAACGAUCCCUAGCUGGUUUGAGAGGAUGAUCAGCCACACUGGAACUGAGACACGGUCCAGACUCCUACUGGAGGCAGCAGUGGGGAAUAUUGCACAAUGGGCGCAAGCCUGAUGCAGCCAUGCCGCGUGUGUGAAGAAGGCCUUCGGGUUGUAAAGCACUUUCAGUCAGGAAGAAAGGUUAGUAUUUAAUACCUGCUAGCUG